UACGGAGGUGGCUAGCGUUGUUCGGAAUUACUGGGCGUAAAGCGCGCGUAGGCGGACCUGCAAGUCGGGGGUGAAAGCCCGAGGCUUAACCUCGGAACUGCCUUCGAUACUGCGGGUCUCGAGUCCGGGAGAGGUGAGUGGAAUUCCUAGUGUAGAGGUGAAAUUCGUAGAUAUUAGGAAGAACACCAGUGGCGAGGGCGGCUCACUGGCCCGGUACUGACGCUGAGGAGCGAAAGCCAGGGGAGCAAACGGG
rnacentral:rRNA from 1 species